CCAACCGGGAUUGCCUUAGUAACGGCGAGUGAAGCGGCAAAAGCUCAAAUUUGAAAUCUGGUACCUUCGGUGCCCGAGUUGUAAUUUGGAGAGGGCAACUUUGGGGCCGUUCCUUGUCUAUGUUCCUUGGAACAGGACGUCAUAGAGGGUGAGAAUCCCGUGUGGCGAGGAGUGCGGUUCUUUGUAAAGUGCCUUCGAAGAGUCGAGUUGUUUGGGAAUGCAGCUCUAAGUGGGUGGUAAAUUCCAUCUAAAGCUAAAUAUUGGCGAGAGACCGAUAGCGAACAAGUACAGUGAUGGAAAGAUGAAAAGAACUUUGAAAAGAGAGUGAAAAAGUACGUGAAAUUGUUGAAAGGGAAGGGCAUUUGAUCAGACAUGGUGUUUUGUGCCCUCUGCUCCUUGUGGGUAGGGGAAUCUCGCAUUUCACUGGGCCAGCAUCAGUUUUGGUGGCAGGAUAAAUCCAUAGGAAUGUAGCUUGCCUCGGUAAGUAUUAUAGCCUGUGGGAAUACUGCCAGCUGGGACUGAGGACUGCGACGUAAGUCAAGGAUGCUGGCAUAAUGGUUAUAUGCCGCCCGUCUUGAAACACGGACCUCCUGUGUGAGGGAUCCCCCUCAAAUGGC
rnacentral:rRNA from 1 species